UCGGGUUGUAAAGCACUUUUGUCCGGAAAGAAAACCUUCGCUCGAAUACAGUGGGGGGAUGACGGUACCGGAAGAAUAAGCACCGGCUAACUACGUGCCAGCAGCGCGGUAAUCGUAGGGUGCGAGCGUUAAUCGGAAUUACUGGGCGUAAAGCGUGCGCAGGCGGUUCGUUAAGACAGAUGUGAAAUCCCCGGGCUUAACCUGGGAACUGCAUUUGUGACUGGCGAGCUAGAGUAUGGCAGAGGGGGGUAGAAUUCCACGUGUAGCAGUGAAAUGCGUAGAGAUGUGGAGGAAUACCGAUGGCGAAGGCAGCCCCCUGGGCCAAUACUGACGCUCAUGCACGAAAGCGUGGGGAGCAAACAGGAUUAGAUACCCUGGUAGUCCACGCCCUAAACGAUGUCAACUAGUUGUUGGGAAUUCAUUUCCUUAGUAACGUAGCUAACGCGUGAAGUUGACCGCCUGGGGAGUACGGUCGCAAGAUUAAAACUCAAAGGAAUUGACGGGGACCCGCACAAGCGGUGGAUGAUGUGGAUUAAUUCGAUGCAACGCGAAAAACCUUACCUACCCUUGACAUGGUCGGAACCCUGCUG
rnacentral:rRNA from 1 species